UUACAUGACUCCAGGGCACAGCAAUGGUCAUAAAUAUGAAGCCGUUGCCAAACAUCUGAAUUUUGAUCACAUGAUCAUGAGGAUGCUGGAAAGGUCGUAACUGUGAAAAAUCAUCAUAAAUCACUUUUUUCAGUGCUGUUGUAACUUUGAAGGGUCACUAAACGAACUGUUGUAAGUAGAGGACUACCUGUAAUUAGUUUGAUAGGCUUUCGAGAUUCAGUUACAUCAUCCUACUAGCAAGAAAGAUUUUUCCAGAAUCCCAUAUGAUUCUUGUUUUCUGAGAUUGACACCUCACAGUAAACAGUGCAAACAUGCCCAUUACUCAGAAAUGUUUUUUCUGUUUCAUGUUUAUUUUCAGAUUUCUGCUUGAAUGUAGGAUUUAAGGUUUCCCCAUAGACUAAAAAAGAAAUCAUGAGGAGCACCAUCUUCAAAGCUGCCAACACACCUGUUGUGGCCCGCCAGCGGCCUGCACGGAUCGUGGCUGAUCCCGACAAAGAGGAGGCUGGUAUAGUGUCACACCAGCAGCCUGCGCAGCCAGCGCUCGCAUCAGACAGUGAGGAGGUUGAAGAGGAUGUGGUGCCAGAGGCAGAGACUCAGCCAGGGCCUUCAGAACCUCCAGAGGUUCCUUCAAGUGGCGAGAGCGAAGUGGAGGAGCCUCUCCUCAAUGCUCGAGCACGGGCUGCCAAAAGGCAGGAGUGGCUACUCAGGAGGAGGAGGUCUACUCGAGAGUAGGGCUUGAAGAUAAUUGGCCACUCCCUUAGCCCAUUUAAGUCGCACGCAGCUAGGGCUUUCUUGCUGGAAACAACUCGUAUUUAUUAUCAGAGUAUUUUGGUUUAUCGUAUCUUGUUUUCUGGGCUGGUUGCCAACCUUUGCCGGUCUUGUUUAUUCUUGCUACUUAAUAAAUUUGAUAAGGACCGUUGGUGUGUGUCAAUAUCCUCAGAAAUCCGGAGCUGGGGCAGAACAGUACCUUUUCAGAGUCAAUUAAUCAUGUUAUAGCUUAUUUUCAGAUAAUACCCCUCAAUCAGUGGUGGGUUGCCCCCGGUUUGCACCGGUUCUAUAGAACCAGUAGUAAAACCGGCGAGAGGCUCCACUCACCGAUCCUGACAUCAUCAAAACGCUUCUGCGCUUGUGCAGAAGAGCGCGCGCACACGCUCGCUUCACUUGCACGCUUGCGCGGCCCCGCUGCAAACCGGUAGUAAAGGUACCCUGCCCUCAAUACAUUUAUUUCUUUUAAUUCUUUAGUUCCUACUUCCACUCACAGUUUUUCAUGUAAAACAUCUUUCAUUUUGCUCAUAUUCUGAACCAGAUAAAGUAACAAUAUGGAUUAUUGAUCUGCAAAUCUUUUUUCCUACUCAAUCUUGCUAGUCAAUUCAUUUUAUGUUAGCUAGGACCUUUCAUUUUAUUCUGGCAUCACUCUAAGGUUAUCCAUGCAUAGCAAGUAUGGAUCUAUUCUCACACAGCUGCUUAGCAGAUUGGGGUCAAUUCCAAUGCUUUAUUCAGAAGUGGGAUAAGUGUAUGGAUUUAUGCAGUGGUGGGAUUCAAGUAAUUUAACAACCAGUUCUCUGCCCUAAUGAUUUCUUCCAACAACCAGUUUGCCAAACUGCUCAGAAAGUUAACAACCGGUUCUCCCGAAGUGGUGCGAACCGGCUGAAUCCCACCACUGGAUUUAUGGGUCUCAAAAUACUAACUGGUAUCAGCCAUUUUUUUCUGCAUUAUGAACUGCAUAGGUAAGUCAACAUGCUCUGCAUGGAAAGAUUUAGAUUUGGAAACCAUGUACAUUUCAUUAUUUGUCCAUAUUUUUUUAGAUGUAUGCAUAAAGAUUGUCUCACAUAGGCUUAAUGGUGAGUUUGUAUGCCUGUAACUUGUUUCAUGAAUGCCCACACAUCCAGUGUGAAACUCAGUUCAACCCAUGCCCUCUAAAUGAAGCAGGGGUGAAAUCUACUUACCUUCCCUACUGGUUCAGAAGUGCGUGUUCUGUGCGUGCGUGUGAGCGGAGCGAGCGUGUGUGCCAUCGUCAGGUCCGAUUUUUGACCCUCUGUGCAUGCACAAAGCCUUCUGCACAUGCGCAAAGGGUCAAAAAUGGGUUACUUCCUGGUUAAAAUCAGGAAGUAAAAAUGUCCAGGUGGGUGGGUGGAGCCUUGCACUGCCGCAGCUACCAGUUCACCGAACUAUGCACUGCUGCUGCUACAGGUUCGCGUGAGCCGAACAGAACCAAUAGGAUUUCACCACUGAAAUGAAACAUAACCUUACUUCUGGAUCUCCCAUAGUUUUUCUGGUGUUUCAAGAGCAGAGGAAACAACAUACUACUCACGAUGAAAUUCAGUACUAUACUGUUUUGACAAGUGACAAGCCAAGGCCUUCUCUGCAGUAGUCCCCCAGAUCUCCUUUCCUUUAAUUUUCCUGAGAAGAAAGAAGACAGGAGCUCCUCCUCUGAAUUAUACCUCUAUUGAGAAUUCAGAAAUGAGAGAACAGUAUACAUUUACAUAUUUUUUUUCUUGACUAAAAUGAGUGUAAUAUUUCCAUGACCUCAAUUCCCAUAAUGAUUUCAAUUGUUCAGGCCUCCUGAUGUAAGUACUCUAAUACUUUUGUCUUCCUAGCAACGGUCCUUUUACCAAGUGUUCUCUAUUUACUCUGUUGUUCAGAUCCUUAUCUAGAAGAGUUAUUCUAGAUCAAUAUAAAAGCAAUCCAGUUUAAGCAUAUGGAACUAACUAGAAUUGAAGUCUGUCUUGUUCAAGCAUCUUAUAAAUGAAAUUAUACAGGAUGGAAAAAGAUGAUGCUUCAUGGAUUUGUGAUGAAGAUAUAUGGAUGGAUAUAGGAUGAAAAUAUCAUUGGUUGUAAAAGAAGAGGGGAUGAGGACUUACAAAAUUGUUUAUACUUGUGAUGAAGGCUGAAAAUAAUUUCUUUACAUACAGUAUUUCUUUUUUCUUUCUUUACUAUAUUCAUACUGUUUUUUCUUCUCCUUUGCACCAUUCACCGUUUCUAUUCUUCUUUCUUUUCAUUUGUAUUAGAUUUUAACUAUUGUAUAAGUGCAUAAGCGUGCCUACCGUCCCUGUACUAAUAUUCCUUUUUACUCUUACUCUUUUCAUGUAUUCAAAUUAUGUUUAUACUUUUACCUGUUAUCUUAUAUAUGCUUGACAAACAAACAAACAAAUAAAUAAAAAUAUUGUAAUUAAAAUCCUUUUAAAUAAACUAAAAUCCCUUCACACCC